UCAGGCGUCUGCAGGUCAUAUCCUGCGGUCAUAUUCAAGAGUUAUUCUCUGGUUAUACUGCUGUGUUGCUUCAAUAGUCUCAGAUCGUUGACAGUUACUCGUACAGUUUCCUCUUAUAAAAAAAGUGUUUGAAAAGUGCAAAUAGCGACAGGUAUCGUAAUGUCUCAAACGUCAGUCUAUAAUAAGCUGCUCAUUGCUCUGCGGGACAAUGAUUUGGAUCAGUUUUGUACGAACUUUAACAGUAAUACAUUGCCUGAAGGAUUUGAUUACGAUUUACUCGUAGAGGCAAUGAUGUCCGGAUGCAAGGAUUUCGUUUUUUACUUGCUAGAUAAAAACUGCAAGACCAACAAAGAAGAUAAUGUCAAUACUCUCGUGCACGUAGCCUUGACAAAUGGCUGGUUAGACGUCGUGAAAAAGUUGCUCGAGCUCGACGUUCCCGUCAGUAGAUGUAACAGUAGAGGCAACACCGCUGUUCACGUAGCCUUCAAUAAUGGUUGCUCAGAAGAGAUUAUUAAUUGUUUAUUAGAAUGCUAUUUUUUGGAAACAUUGGAAAACAUUAAGAAUGUCGAUGGACUUAGUAUCUUGCAUAUAAUAUGCACUAGACCGAAUGUUGAACUGUUCAAAAAACUUGUUUACAAAAGUGUGAGCGAAGAAGGGAGCCAAAAGAUUAUUCUUUCAUAUGAUGAUCUCAAUGGCCAGAAUAUUGUAAUUUCAGUUGUAUUUGACUAGGUAUGUUUGGAUUCAAAUACACUCUAUGCUGGUUACACUCCACUUCACUUCGCUGUACAAAGUGGCUGCAUUGAGAUUAUAAAGAAUUUAAUAUACUGCUGUCAUAUUGAUAUCUGUAAACAAGAUGCAAGUUUCUCAACACCAUUGCACUUGGCCCUACAACGUCGCGACAUUGACGUGAUUGAUAUUCUUCUAGCUGAUAAUACAGUUUAUAAGGAUUACGUCAAUAGUGCUGGUUUGACUCAUGUGAUGGCAGCAUGUGCAAGUACAAUAGACAAUAUUGCUACCAAUUUUUUAAACUAUACUUACAUACAUGCUUGUGAUAAAAUGAAUUCAAUUGUAAAUGCUAGAGUUCAGGAUCUAGGAAACUCUCUUGCAGGCUACACACCUUUCCAUUUUGCAGCUGAAUAUGGACGCUUCCAGACUGUUCAAUUGCUUUACUAUUAUGAAUCAAUGAUUUUUGCUAAAACCUCACAAGGAUUGUCGGCUCUUGUGUUAGCCAUUAAGAAUAAUCAUCACUACAUUGCACAUUUGAUUUUCAAUUACUAUAAAGCUUAUAGGGAAAGCAUAUGCAAUGAUAAAAGAGAUGUUAUUGUCAAGGAUAUAAUUCCAUUCAUAGAGAAUCCAACACCUAUGGCAUUGUAAAUUUUUAGUUCUGUUCAAUCACUUUGAUGUUAAUUAUUAUUUAUUUAUGUAUUCAUUUUUAUGUUAUGUUUUUUGAUAGAAGAUAUUAAGCUAGUACUUUAAUAAUCGCAAAUAAUUUAUUUCUUUGUAAUGUAGCUUAUCAUUAAUUGACAAAAUGUUCUUUUUAUUAUUCGAUGUUAUACUUAUACUAAGUAGUAUUCAAAAUAUAAUUGUAACUAUAUUAUUAGAUAAUAUAAUGAAUAUUGAAAAUGUGUUUCUUUGAUACAAUAAUAGAUUGGUAGCAAUAUUUAAUCGUUGAACGUCAGUAAAAUCCGAGCUGGCUUUUAUCUACGAUUAAUAUUCAUAUUUUUAGAAGUUUGAUAUUAAAACAAAAAUGUUUAUAAAUGUAUAAAAGAUCGAACAAUUAAUUUUGCGUUAUCCGAGUUUGUUAUUGUGACUAAGUAUUCCAUUCGUAAAUAAAUCCAAGCAGUAUAUUUUAUUCAUAACUGUACAAUUAAUCGUUUUCUGAAAUUUACUUGGGGUUUUGCUAUAAAAUCCCUCAGAUUCAGGUAAAAAUCUUAAUAAAAAUUA